rnacentral:sRNA from 1 species
UGUAUCUGAAGCUUGACGAGGAUGAGAACCUCCGGAGGGCAAGAGGUUCGACCCGAGCGAAGCGAGAGAACGUUGCGUCAGCAACGGCCCGCAGGGCGAGUCAUCCUCUAUCACCGGCAG